CCUACGGGACGCAGCAGUGGGGAAUAUUGCACAAUGGGGGAAACCCUGAUGCAGCGACGCCGCGUGAGUGAAGAAGUAUUUCGGUAUGUAAAGCUCUGUCAGCAGGGAAGAAGUUGACGGUACCUGAGUAAGAAGCCCCGGCUAACUACGUGCCAGCAGCCGCGGUAAUACGUAGGGGGCAAGCGUUAUCCGGAUUUAUUGGGUGUAAAGGGCGUGUAGGCGGGAAUGCAAGUCAGAUGUGAAAACUAUGGGCUCAACCCAUAGCCUGCAUUUGAAACUGUAUUUCUUGAGUGCUGGAGAGGCAA
rnacentral:rRNA from 1 species